GAUUCGUCACACUAUCAUUAACUGAAUCCAUAGGUUAAUGAGGCGAACCGGGGGAACUGAAACAUCUAAGUACCCCGAGGAAAAGAAAUCAACCGAGAUUCCCCCAGUAGCGGCGAGCGAACGGGGAGGAGCCCAGAGCCUGAAUCAGCAUGUGUGUUAGUGGAAGCGUCUGGAAAGGCGCGCGAUACAGGGUGACAGCCCCGUACACAAAAGCGCAUGUGCUGUGAGCUCGAUGAGUAGGGCGGGACACGUGGUAUCCUGUCUGAAUAUGGGGGGACCAUCCUCCAAGGCUAAAUACUCCUGACUGACCGAUAGUGAACCAGUACCGUGAGGGAAAGGCGAAAAGAACCCCGGCGAGGGGAGUGAAAAAGAACCUGAAACCGUGUACGUACAAGCAGUGGGAGCACCCUUCGGGGUGUGACUGCGUACCUUUUGUAUAAUGGGUCAGCGACUUAUAUUCUGUAGCAAGGUUAACCGUAUAGGGGAGCCGGAGGGAAACCGAGUCUUAAC
rnacentral:rRNA from 3 species